GCGAGCGAAACGGAAUCUAGCCCAAACCAAGAGGCUUGCCUCUUGGGGUUGUAGGACAUUCUAUACGGAGUUACAAAAGAACGUGGUAGACGAAGUAGUCUGGAAAGGCUCGUCACAGAAGGUAACAACCCUGUAGUCGAAACUUCGUUCUCUCUUGAAUGUAUCCUGAGUACGGCGGAACACGUGAAAUUCCGUCGGAAUCCGGGAGGACCAUCUCCCAAGGCUAAAUACUCCCUAGUGAUCGAUAGUGAACCAGUACCGUGAGGGAAAGGUGAAAAGCACCCCGGAAGGGGAGUGAAAGAGCUCCUGAAACCGUGUGCCUACAAAUAGUCAGAGCCCGUUAAUGGGUGAUGGCGUGCCUUUUGUAGAAUGAACCGGCGAGUUACGAUCCCGUGCAAGGUUAAGCUGAAGAGGCGGAGCCGUAGCGAAAGCGAGUCUGAAUAGGGCGUUUAGUACGUGGUCGUAGACCCGAAACCAGGUGAUCUACCCAUGUCCAGGGUGAAGUUCAGGUAACACUGAAUGGAGGCCCGAACCCACGCACGUUGAAAAGUGCGGGGAUGAGGUGUGGGUAGCGGAGAAAUUCCAAUCGAACCUGGAGAUAGCUGGUUCUCCCCGAAAUAGCUUUAGGGCUAGCCUCAAGUGUUAGAGUCUUGGAGGUAGAGCACUGAUUGAACUAGGGGUCCUCAUCGGAUUACCGAAUUCAGUCAAACUCCGAAUGCCAAUGACUUAUCCUUAGGAGUCAGACUGCGAGUGAUAAGAUCCGUAGUCAAGAGGGAAACAGCCCAGAUCGCCAGCUAAGGUCCCAAAGUGUGUAUUAAGUGGAAAAGGAUGUGGAGUUGCUUAGACAACUAGGAUGUUGGCUUAGAAGCAGCCACCAUUUAAAGAGUGCGUAAUAGCUCACUAGUCGAGUGACUCUGCGCCGAAAAUGUAUCGGGGCUAAAUACACCACCGAAACUGCGGAUUGAUACCUUUAGUAUCAGUGGUAGGGGAGCGUUCUAAGGACAGUGAAGUCAGACCGGAAGGACUGGUGGAGUGCUUAGAAGUGAGAAUGCCGGUAUGAGUAGCGAAAGACGGGUGAGAAUCCCGUCCACCGAAUGCCUAAGGUUUCCUGAGGAAGGCUCGUCCGCUCAGGGUUAGUCAGGACCUAAGCCGAGGCCGACAGGCGUAGGCGAUGGACAACAGGUUGAUAUUCCUGUACCACCUCUUUAUCGUUUGAGCAAUGGAGGGACGCAGAAGGAUAGAAGAAGCGUGCGAUUGGUUGUGUACGUCCAAGCAGUUAGGCUGAUAAGUAGGCAAAUCCGCUUAUCGUGAAGGUUGAGCUGUGAUGGGGAAGCUCCUUAUGGAGCGAAGUCUUUGAUUCCCCGCUGCCAAGAAAAGCUUCUAGCGAGAUAA
rnacentral:rRNA from 1 species